rnacentral:rRNA from 1 species
GAUCAUGGCUCAGGAUGAACGCUAGCUACAGGCUUAACACAUGCAAGUCGAGGGGAAACGACAUCGAAAGCUUGCUUUGAUGGGCGUCGACCGGCGCACGGGUGAGUAACGCGUAUCCAACCUGCCCACCACUUGGGGAUAACCUUGCGAAAGUAAGACUAAUACCCAAUGACGUCUCUAGAAGACAUCUGAAAGAGAUUAAAGAUUUAUCGGUGAUGGAUGGGGAUGCGUCUGAUUAGCUUGUUGGCGGGGUAACGGCCCACCAAGGCAACGAUCAGUAGGGGUUCUGAGAGGAAGGUCCCCCACAUUGGAACUGAGACACGGUCCAAACUCCUACGGGAGGCAGCAGUGAGGAAUAUUGGUCAAUGGGCGAGAGCCUGAACCAGCCAAGUAGCGUGCAGGAUGACGGCCCUAUGGGUUGUAAACUGCUUUUAUAAGGGAAUAAAGUGAGUCUCGUGAGGCUUUUUGCAUGUACCUUAUGAAUAAGGACCGGCUAAUUCCGUG